rnacentral:tRNA from 1 species
GCGCGAUUAGCUCAGUGGUAGAGCAUCACCUUGACAUGGUGGGGGUCGCAGGUUCGAACCCUGCAUCGCGCACCA